CCUACGGGUGGCAGCGGUGGGGAAUAUUGGACAAUGGGCGAAAGCCUGAUCCAGCCAUGCCGCGUGUGUGAAGAAGGCCUUCGGGUUGUAAAGCACUUUCAGUGGGGAAGAAAGCCUUGGGGCUAAUACCCUCGAGGAAGGACAUCACCCACAGAAGAAGCACCGGCUAACUCCGUGCCAGCAGCCGCGGUAAUACGGAGGGUGCGAGCGUUAAUCGGAAUUACUGGGCGUAAAGCGCGCGUAGGCGGUCUGAUAAGCCGGUUGUGAAAGCCCCGGGCUCAACCUGGGAACGGCAUCCGGAACUGUCAGGCUAGAGUGCAGGAGAGGAAGGUAGAAUUCCCGGUGUAGCGGUGAAAUGCGUAGAGAUCGGGAGGAAUACCAGUGGCGAAGGCGGCCUUCUGGACUGACACUGACGCUGAGGUGCGAAAGCGUGGGUAGCAAACAGGAUUAGAUACCCGAGUAGUC
rnacentral:rRNA from 1 species